rnacentral:misc_RNA from 1 species
CCCACAAGAUGUAAUGAGCCAGUAACAAGAACCUGGAAACUAACAGAUUGAUUCUUGUAGACGCUGUCCCUAAGCCAUUUAAUUGCCAAUGGGAGAGAAGGAAAGACUGCACUGUUUUCACAAGUACUAACACUAGUUCCUGUAUCAUCUUUAACUUCCUCACAAACAGCAUCUGUUCUAUUGGCCUCCCCUCCUUUAUCACCCUGGACAAGGUCUUCCCAUAAUUUUUGCAGAGUAAACUGCCAUGACAAAUCAACUUGAGGAUCUGUUGGGGGUAAAGCAUGAGAUCCAACUUUGUAAUAGACUGAUACAUUAGGUACAAAGAGCGCCUUCUUGAAGCAGACACCAUGACUAGCACAGGUUUUCAUCAGAUGUGGAAGAAGCAACUGAGGAUCUCGCACUGACAUACAAUUGAACAACAGUAUCCGCAUGAAAAUUUUCCCAGAUCUUCUGUCAAGGUGCUUAUCAAUGCAGUCAAGCAUGGAUUGAUAAUUGUUCUGUGAAGGAAGAUUCAAGGUGUUUUGCUGGUUGUCAUUUUUAAUGGCAAGAGAGAACCAUCUUGCACAUACUUCCAUGCUUUCAGGACUAUGAGCUCCAUCCAAAUAAAACACAAGAUCUCCAUCGCUCUCAGUGUCGAUAUAUGGAUCAGGAACAAUUUGAGCUCGCCCUUGCAGACAGGCUGUUGUUAGCCCCUUAAUAAACUGCUCAGGUAGUGAGCUAGUUUGCUCCAAGUAGGUGGCUUCAAGGUGACCAGACCUUUGAAGCCAUUUAGAAGAUAGCGCAAUGGCAAGACCAGCAUUUACAAACUGGUGCUCACCUUCAAGUCCAAGUUUUAGACCAUUCAGCAAGUUGGAAUCCAAUGGCGGUGCCACAUGAAGAGGUACAUCUAACUUCGAAGCCUUCUCUUCAAGUAGACACAUAGCUUCAUCAGGUUGAGGGACUGUGAAUGCUGGAAUCCCAUGCUUAAAGAUGCCAGCCUUUUCCCCAGCAAUUUCUCCAAGAGUAUUUCCAAGAAUCUCCAUGUGAUCAUA